GAUGAACGCUGGCGGCGUGCUUAACACAUGCAAGUCGAACGAAGCACUUUAUUUGAUUUCCUUCGGGACUGAUUAUUUUGUGACUGAGUGGCGGACGGGUGAGUAACGCGUGGGUAACCUGCCUUGUACAGGGGGGAUAACAGUUGGAAACGGCUGCUAAUACCGCAUAAGCGCACAGCAUCGCAUGAUGCAGUGUGAAAAACUCCGGUGGUAUAAGAUGGACCCGCGUUGGAUUAGCUAGUUGGUGAGGUAACGGCCCACCAAGGCGACGAUCCAUAGCCGACCUGAGAGGGUGACCGGCCACAUUGGGACUGAGACACGGCCCAAACUCCUACGGGAGGCAGCAGUGGGGAAUAUUGCACAAUGGGCGAAAGCCUGAUGCAGCGACGCCGCGUGAGCGAAGAAGUAUUUCGGUAUGUAAAGCUCUAUCAGCAGGGAAGAUAAUGACGGUACCUGACUAAGAAGCACCGGCUAAAUACGUGCUAGCAGCCGCGGUAAUACGUAUGGUGCAAGCGUUAUCCGGAUUUACUGGGUGUAAAGGGAGCGCAGGCGGUGCGGCAAGUCUGAUGUGAAAGCCCGGGGCUCAACCCCGGUACUGCAUUGGAAACUGUCGUACUAGAGUGUCGGAGGGGUAAGCGGAAUUCCUAGUGUAGCGGUGAAAUGCGUAGAUAUUAGGAGGAACACCAGUGGCGAAGGCGGCUUACUGGACGAUAACUGACGCUGAGGCUCGAAAGCGUGGGGAGCAAACAGGAUUAGAUACCCUGGUAGUCCACGCCGUAAACG
rnacentral:rRNA from 1 species